rnacentral:rRNA from 1 species
GAUGAACGCUGGCGGCGUGCCUAAUACAUGCAAGUCGAGCGAACGGACGAGAAGCUUGCUUCUCUGAUGUUAGCGGCGGACGGGUGAGUAACACGUGGAUAACCUACCUAUAAGACUGGGAUAACUUCGGGAAACCGGAGCUAAUACCGGAUGAUAUUUUGAACCGCAUGGUUCAAAAGUGAAAGACGGUCUUGCUGUCACUUAUAGAUGGAUCCGCGCUGCAUUAGCUAGUUGGUAAGGUAACGGCUUACCAAGGCAACGAUGCAUAGCCGACCUGAGAGGGUGAUCGGCCACACUGGAACUGAGACACGGUCCAGACUCCUACGGGAGGCAGCAGUAGGGAAUCUUCCGCAAUGGGCGAAAGCCUGACGGAGCAACGCCGCGUGAGUGAUGAAGGUCUUCGGAUCGUAAAACUCUGUUAUUAGGGAAGAACAUAUGUGUAAGUAACUGUGCACAUCUUGACGGUACCUAAUCAGAAAGCCACGGCUAACUACGUGCCAGCAGCCGCGGUAAUACGUAGGUGGCAAGCGUUAUCCGGAAUUAUUGGGCGUAAAGCGCGCGUAGGCGGUUUUUUAAGUCUGAUGUGAAAGCCCACGGCUCAACCGUGGAGGGUCAUUGGAAACUGGAAAACUUGAGUGCAGAAGGGGAAAGUGGAAUUCCAUGUGUAGCGGUGAAAUGCGCAGAGAUAUGGAGGAACACCAGUGGCGAAGGCGACUUUCUGGUCUGUAACUGACGCUGAUGUGCGAAAGCGUGGGGAUCAAACAGGAUUAGAUACCCUGGUAGUCCACGCCGUAAACGAUGAGUGCUAAGUGUUAGGGGGUUUCCGCCCCUUAGUGCUGCAGCUAACGCAUUAAGCACUCCGCCUGGGGAGUACGACCGCAAGGUUGAAACUCAAAGGAAUUGACGGGGACCCGCACAAGCGGUGGAGCAUGUGGUUUAAUUCGAAGCAACGCGAAGAACCUUACCAAAUCUUGACAUCCUUUGACAACUCUAGAGAUAGAGCCUUCCCCUUCGGGGGACAAAGUGACAGGUGGUGCAUGGUUGUCGUCAGCUCGUGUCGUGAGAUGUUGGGUUAAGUCCCGCAACGAGCGCAACCCUUAAGCUUAGUUGCCAUCAUUAAGUUGGGCACUCUAAGUUGACUGCCGGUGACAAACCGGAGGAAGGUGGGGAUGACGUCAAAUCAUCAUGCCCCUUAUGAUUUGGGCUACACACGUGCUACAAUGGACAAUACAAAGGGCAGCGAAACCGCGAGGUCAAGCAAAUCCCAUAAAGUUGUUCUCAGUUCGGAUUGUAGUCUGCAACUCGACUACAUGAAGCUGGAAUCGCUAGUAAUCGUAGAUCAGCAUGCUACGGUGAAUACGUUCCCGGGUCU